rnacentral:lncRNA from 1 species
UCAGAGAGAGGCAAAUAAGCUUGUUGUUGAGCUCUGUUCUGUGUCUAGGCUUUUUUUUUUCUCUCUCUCCCUUUUUUUUUUUUUUUUUUGCAUAGAUUAGAAAUGCUGUUAGUCUCCCAGGACAACCUGUGUUAAAACCUUCUCUUCAGGCAGCAAUAGAGCUCUCCGGGGCCUGAUCCCGAGCGUCUCUGGCAGCCUGGGCUGCGGGGGCACUCCGGCCCCAUGUGCACCUGCCCGGGGUGCGCAGCCGGGCGCUCCCGCAGCACCACCAGACCGCUGCUCUGGCGGGAGACAGCUCUCUCUGUGCAUGGGGGGAUGAAGAGCCGCUACGAAAGGAGGUAUUUAAGUAUCAACGUCACUUAUAGGUUUGAUCAUCAUCAUCAUAAAAGUGACACCAGGAAGAGCCACAAAAUAUUUCAUAGGAUCCAGAAAUCUGAAGGAUUUUUUUCAAGAGACAUUCCUUUUCACGGGUACCAGUGACCGGUGACACACAGCUGGAGAAGCGGCGGGGGGCCCGGCUCUGCGUGUGGCUGUGCAGGGAGGUCCCACCUCAGCCGCGGAGGCGAGCAGACCAACGUGCUGGCGAGCCACUGGCGAAGGUAAAAGGCAGGAACCUUCAUUCCCACACACCCCCCCCUU